UACGUAGGGGGCUAGCGUUGUCCGGAAUCAUUGGGCGUAAAGAGCGUGUAGGCGGUCCGAUAAGUCGGCUGUGAAAGUCAAGGGCUCAACCCUUGAAUGCCGGCCGAUACUGUCGGGCUAGAGUCCGGAAGAGGCGAGUGGAAUUCCUGGUGUAGCGGUGAAAUGCACAGAUAUCAGGAGGAACACCAAUGGCGAAGGCAGCUCGCUGGGACGGUACUGACGCUGAGACGCGAAAGCGUGGGGAGCAAACAGG
rnacentral:rRNA from 1 species